CCAAGGAGUCUAACAUGUGUGCGAGUCGUAGGGUUCCCACGAAACCCGAAGGCGAAGUGAAAGUAUAGGCCGGUUCAUCCGGCCGAGGCGGGAUCUGCCCUCUUUCUCUCCUCUUGCGGGGGAGCGAGGGGCAGCGCACCGCCGGCCCGUCUCGACCGCUGCGUCGGUGAGGCGGAGCAAGAGCAUACACGUUGGGACCCGAAAGAUGGUGAACUAUUCCUAGGCAGGACGAAGCCAGAGGAAACUCUGGUGGAGGUCCGUAGCGUUUCUGACGUGCAAAUCGAUCGUCAGACCUGGGUAUAGGGGCGAAAGACUAAUCGAACCAUCUA
rnacentral:rRNA from 1 species